rnacentral:rRNA from 1 species
CAAUAGCGUAUAUUUAAGUUGUUGCAGUUAAAAAGCUCGUAGUCGGAUUUUGGCUGAGAACGAUCGGUCCGCCGUUAGGUGUGCACUGAUUGGUCUCAGCUUCCUGGUGAGGAGGUGUGCUUCACGGCCACUUAGUCACCGUGGUUACUUUGAAAAAAUUAGAGUGUUCAAAGCGGGCUUACGCUUGAAUAUAUUAGCAUGGAAUAACACCAUAGGACUCCUGUCCUAUUUCGUUGGUCUCGGGACGGGAGUAAUGAUUAAGAGGAACAGUUGGGGGCAUUCGUAUUUCAUUGUCAGAGGUGGAAUUCUUGGAUUUAUGAAAGACGAACUUCUGCGAAAGCAUUUGCCAAGGAUGUUUUCAUUGA